CCUACGGGUGGCAGCAGUGAGGAAUAUUGGUCAAUGGGCGCGAGCCUGAACCAGCCACGUAGCGUGAAGGAUGACUGCCCUACGGGUUGUAAACUUCUUUUGUAAAGGAAUACAGUGAGGCACGUGUGCCUCUUUGUAUGUACUUUAUGAAUAAGGAUCGGCUAACUCAGUGCCAGCAGCCGCGGUAAUGUGGAGGAUGCGAGCGUUAUUCGGAUUUAUUGGGUUUAAAGGGAGCGUAGAUGGGAUGUUAAGUCAGUUGUGAAAGUUUGUGGCUCAACCGUAAAAUUGCAAUUGAUACUGGCAGUCUUGAGUACAGUUGAGGUAGGCGGAAUUCGUGGUGUAGCGGUGAAAUGCUUAGAUAUCACGAAGAACUCCGAUGGCGAAGGCAGCUUACUAAACUGCCACUGACAUUGAGGCUCGAAAGUGUGGGUAUCAAACAGGAUUAGAUACCCGUGUAGUC
rnacentral:rRNA from 1 species